UAUAUAAGGCCUGCCGGAUUGUGCAGCAAACACUGUUACAAUUAAAGUGUUGCCGUGUAAAGAGCAAUUAAGCUAUAAGCAAUAAGUUGUAAACUCGAAUAGCGAGCAAUAAGGGUUAAGUUGUUGAAAUUAGAAAUAGAGAUAAGUGUAUAGCCAAUAAAUUGGAACUUUUGUUUAACAAUCCAGUGAUCGAACUCAAGAGUGAGUUACAAGGUAGAUGAUUGAUCGAGAAAUCCGUUACAAUAUUUAGACAUCAAUUGUUAAACAUUAGCAACGUGGAGUCUCAUUCGCAAUAUUGCUAGCAAUUCAGGUUUUUAGCAAUCUUAAAUUGCCUGCCGAGAUGCCCCGCUAUUGUGAAUUUAACCAUAGAUGUCUCCGUCAGCAACAGUUAAGUUGGUGAUACUGUCAGCGUAAUCGUCCAUCUUUAAAAAAUUCACUACGGAAACGUUCAUUUCAUUUCGGAUUGUCUUCGAGUAAAGAUGUGUCAUUUAUUUGGACUUAAAAAAUUGUAUAAUUUUAGAGAGUAUAAAAGUGGGUAUGGUUGACUUACAAUGGAAUUUGUGACAAGCUCAUUGGUUCGAAUAUGAAUUAUCUGAGGACGUGAAAUUUGAAAUCUAUAUUUUCCUGUCUACAAAGGUCUUCCUAACCACGUGGACGUGGACUUCAGUGUCUAAUAUAAACCGUACAUUAAAUGAUAAGGAUUAUCUUGGUGUUCGCUGAAAGCAGUAAGAUAUACACUUUAGACGGGGAGAAUAUCGAUGUACUUCCGGCAUCCCACGAGAUCUUUGUUGAAUAAUAAAAACAAUGUAAUAGCAAGUAGUAAUAAAGAAUUAAUUGCUUUUAAAUAAUUUGUGUUUUUAUUGUAGAUCCAGAUUGAAAAUUAGGAAAAUAUAGAUAAGCCAUAUAUUUGCAAAAAAAAAUCAUGCAGUUGAAUUUCUGAUUGUAAAAGCUUUUCUAAACAUUCUCUACAAUCGAAAUCAUAGUAAAUUUCAUUGAUAUAAAUGAUUAAUCGUUUUCGAAAAGCUACAUAUUUUAUUGCAUAUAGUGCAUAGGAAUAUGUAUUUUUUUACUUAGGUCGCUGUUGAAACUAUUGUUUCAACGCAUAAAUAUAAUUGUGAAUGCUACUUUAUCAAAUGGGAACAGUGAAAAUGGAACACAAGAGAACAGAAAAUAUGCGAGAAAUUGUAUUCCUCUUCACUGUAAACGAUAGCUUAUAAACAAAACGUCGAUCAUUUAAUAUAUAAAAAGAGGACAUAAAGUAUGUUUAAUUAUAAAUUACCGGAUGGAGGUUUGCGCGCUCAUUGUUACUUUAAUUCCAAUGGUGACAUCAAAUUUGAUCCACCAGUAUAUGAGCAGCGUUAUACUACAACAGUACGCAUAUUGGAAGAUCCACAUUGGGGGUACAAAUUUAAAAAAGUGGUAGAUUUUGGAUGUGCUGAUAUGCGAUUAUUGUCAUUGAUACGCCGUACAGAAGGCAUUGAACAUAUUCUAGAGGUUGACAUUGACGAAGAUUUAUUAAAGAGCAAUAAACUGAGAGCAGAACCCUUGGUAACGGACUAUUUGAAAAAACGUGAAACUCCUUUACGAAUCGAAUUAUUACAAGGAAGUAUCGACACGCCGGCUGAACAAUUGUUAAAUGUAGACGCAGUCAUCGCUUUGGAAAUAAUUGAGCAUUUGUACCCAGAUACACUAGCGAAUGCUCCAAAAAAUAUUUUCGGUUUUAUGCAACCGAGACUAGCAAUAUUUUCAACACCAAAUUCGGAAUUUAACGUACUCUUUGAGCCGUUACUAGCAAAUGGUUUCCGACAUGAUGAUCAUAAAUUCGAAUGGACACGCUCUGAAUUCAGGGAUUGGGCAUUAAAUAUUUGUCAACAAUAUCCAAAUUAUAAGGUUGCUUUUAUGGGUGUUGGGGAUGCACCACCAGAUAGAAAAGAUAUUGGCAACGUAACUCAAAUAGCAAUAUUCGCACGUUGUGAUUUGCUGGAUCGUUCUCUUCAUAGUGAGUUACUUCCCAGCAAGGUCGCAGUAGAUUGUAGACCUGAUGCAGAUGUUCGAUACAAAGAAAUAUUUACAGUAGAUUUCCCAGUUUACCUUGAUGAACGUAGCAAAGAUCAAAAGAUUCUGGAUGAGGCGCGUUAUCAAAUCAGUCGUUGCCGACGUAUCGAUAGAUAUUUCAAUUGCGAUUUACGUGUGUAUGAAGUACCUCUCACAGUUUUAAGGGACUAUAUUGAAAAUAUUGGCGCUACAAUACAAGAACUGCUUACUGUUCUGAAAGAAAAUGGUAUUGAAGUAAAAGAAGAAUACAUCAUAUUACCCGAAUAUGAUGAGGAUGAUUUAAGUUAUCAUCAAUAUGAUGAUUGUUACGAUGAGGAGUUGGGAGUGUGGAAUGAUGUUGGGUAUGCUGUGGAUGAGACCGGAAAUGAUGACGAACGGGGUGCAUGCGGUGGAUAUUCACAUACUAAAGAAGACACCAAUUAUGAUUCUGAGGAAAAUUGGGAUUAAGCGAAAGCUAGUAGGGGUUUAAUUUAGUUACAACUUAAAUAAUAAACCAUUAUUAUAUGUAUGAAGAAAACGAUAAAAUGAAAUACUAUGUAUAAAUAAAGCAGUAUACAAAAUGUUACUUAAGUAGAGAUUUUUUAAAGAAAAUGGGAUUGAACAAUCACCGGGUCAACAGUGAAUACUUUUUCCCUAUAAUAAAUGUACGUGAAUACAUAUCUACAGA